rnacentral:SRP_RNA from 1 species
GCUGGGCGUGGUGGCUCAUGCCUGUAAUCCCAGCAUUUUGGGAGGCUGAGGCGGGUGGAUCACCUGAGGUCAGGAGUUCGAGACCAGCCUGGCCAACAUGGUGAGCCCUCGUCUCUA